rnacentral:misc_RNA from 1 species
UCAAACUUGGUCAUUUAGAGGAAGUAAAAGUCGUAACAAGGUUUCCGUAGGUGAACCUGCGGAAGGAUCAUUAUCGAUAUGAUAACAAUCAUUUAUAAACCAUGUGUGCAGUCAUUGAGAAAUCAAAAGAGGGAAAAGUUUUUUCCUUUUUUUUUUUUUAUCCUUCACAUAUUAUAUUUGUUAUUUGUUGUAAUGUUUUAAAAAUAAAACAAAAAAACUUUCAACAACGGAUCUCUUGGCUCUCGCAUCGAUGAAGAACGCAGC